AUUGAACGCUGGCGGCAUGCUUUACACAUGCAAGUCGAACGGCAGCACGGACUUCGGUCUGGUGGCGAGUGGCGAACGGGUGAGUAAUACAUCGGAACGUGCCCAGUUGUGGGGGAUAACUACUCGAAAGAGUAGCUAAUACCGCAUGAGAACUGAGGUUGAAAGCAGGGGAUCGCAAGACCUUGCGCAACUGGAGCGGCCGAUGGCAGAUUAGGUAGUUGGUGGGAUAAAAGCUUACCAAGCCGACGAUCUGUAGCUGGUCUGAGGGGACGACCAGCCACGCUGGGACUGAGACACGGGCCAGACUCCUACGGGAGGCAGCAGUGGGGAAUUUUGGACAAUGGGCGAAAGCCUGAUUCAGCAAUGCCGCGUGCAGGAUGAAGGCCUUCGGGUUGUAAACUGCUUUUGUACGGAACGAAAAGCUUCGGGUUAAUACCCUGGAGUCAUGACGGUACCGUAAGAAUAAGCACCGGCUAACUACGUGCCAGCAGCCGCCGUAAAAC
rnacentral:rRNA from 1 species